AUGUACAUUUAUAACCGUAUAUAUAAAUUGGUAAGAAGCGAAGCGAUACAGAUUUUUCUUCUAAAAACAAAAUUUGUUUAAAACCACAAUUUAACUGGCCCACAGCCCAAGUCAAAUGACAAUAUAUAUAUAUGACUACGACGACAUCAGAGCUGUCGCUCAAGCAAGGCAAAUCUUGAAACACAACUGGAUUAAAUAAUAUUAAACAAUGGUAUGACAAAAUUCUUAUUCUCAAUUGAAUAAUAUAAUCCCAGACAAAUGUUACGCGGGGAACGUAAACGGUUUAUUUAACUGAGAGUUAAACUGAUGUAACUUUAAUUUCAAAGAUUAUCAAUAAGAAAAAAUAAACUGUGACGUAGCGUGUGAUGAAAGAUAAUAAUAAUUUAUAUAAUAUAUCUUUUAUACAAAAUGAAUGUUCCCCACAAAAAAGAACUAAAUUUUUUGGGAUGUCAUUGUUCAUUGCACUGGCAACAAAUUGGCCAAUUGUUAAGUUUGACUGUAGUUAAAAUAGACAUCGAAAAACGCAUUUACGAUUUAACUACUGGUUAGUCAUUUAACUAUAGUUAAUGUAACAAAAGGUUAUACCAUUUUUAACUACGGAUCAAAAAACUGGCCCUUAGCAAAAUACGCUCGCUCGGCUGCUCCUUACUCAAAGCACGCGUAUAGAGUCUGGCUAACGAAAGUAGAUAAUUGAAUUAUUUGAAAACUUUCGGAUGGCAACACAGAAUGUCAUUGUCAAUUUCUCAAUAUGGCUGUUGUCAAACAUUAGUUUUGGGUUAUUUUGUUCUAAUUUAUUCAUUUACAUGUUUAAAUAUGAGUAAAACAGUGGAGUUCGAGAGAUAUUGUUCUGCAUUAUAUCCAAAUUACAAGAAAAACAAGAAGAAAAAGAAGCUGAAUUCUACCAAAAACAAGAUUGUUUACGUGUGGUGUUGAAUUUCUUAGGAGUUCUGGAGGAGUCGAUGCAAUAAUGAGAACUUAAAUAAAAUAAAUAUAAAGAAAGGGACAGGACUACAGAUGAACAUUUAGAAAGUUUCAUAAUCAAUGUGAGAGACAGUGAUAACAGCAGUGACUCUGGUGAAUCUAUCCAUAUUGAUUUUUUGGAUUCUAUUUUUGAUUAUUCCGAAUAAAGUUGUGUUUUAUAAUAAA